CAAGUCGAACGGCAGCACAGUGUGUAGCAAUACAUAUGGGUGGCGAGUGGCGGACGGGUGAGAAACGCGUAGGAAUUUGCCCUGUAGAACGGGACAACCGGAGGAAACUCCGGCUAAUACCGUAUGAAACUCGAAAGAGGAAAGGCUGGGAGCAAUCCUGGUGCUAUAGGAGAAGCCUGCGUCUGAUUAGCUAGUUGGUAGGGUAAAAGCCUACCAAGGCGAUGAUCGGUAGCUGGUCUGAGAGGAUGAUCAGCCACACUGGGACUGAGACACGGCCCAGACUCCUACGGGAGGCAGCAGUGGGGAAUAUUGGACAAUGGGGGCAACCCUGAUCCAGCAAUGCCGCGUGUGUGAAGAAGGCCUUCGGGUUGUAAAGCACUUUAGGGUGGGAAGAAGGAUAUUUGUUUAAGAGAUAAGUAUUUUGACUGUACCAUCAGAAUAAGCACCGGCUAACUCUGUGCCAGCAGCCGCGGUAAUACAGAGGGUGCAAGCGUUAAUCGGAGUUACUGGGCGUAAAGGGCGCGUAGGUAGUUAUAUAAGAGAGAGGUGAAAUCCCUGGGCUUAACCUAGGAACUGCUUUUCUGACUGUAAGACUAGAGUAUUGUAGAGGGUAGUGGAAUUUCCGGUGUAGCGGUGAAAUGCGUAGAGAUCGGAAGGAACACCAGUGGCGAAGGCGGCUACCUGGACAAAUACUGACACUGAGGCGCGAGAGCGUGGGUAGCAAACAGGAUUAGAUACCCUGGUAGUCCACGCUGUAAACGAUGAGAACUAGAUGUUGGUAGGCAUGACCUAUUAGUAUCGAAGCUAACGCGAUAAGUUUCUCCGCCCUGGGGAGUACGGCCGCAAGGUUUAAAAC
rnacentral:rRNA from 1 species